GCGAUUUGCCCCGUAACUUAUAAGCCCCAUCCCAACCCAAAGCUAGGCACCUACUCUGCUUUUCAAGUCCGCGAUCUCCGUUCAGGUUGACAGAGAAUCCCGGCAAGCAAGUCCCUUUUUCAGUUUUAGCCCUAAUCUUCACCAGGGGAGAAUGCUUUCCUGUGUAGAAACUUUUCUACUUCAGAAGCAUGAGAAUAUUUUUUGGUGUAGAAAGACUUGGUUUUGGAGCUCAUUAGGUUCAUUGAGCUCAUUUUGUUAGUUGUAUCUACUUC